AUUGAACGCUGGCGGCAGGCCUAACACAUGCAAGUCGAGCGAGCGGCGGACGGGUGAGUAAUGUAUGGGGACUGCCCGAUAGAGGGGGAUAACUACUGGAAACGGUGGCUAAUACCGCAUACUAUCGGAUAACCCAUAUGGGAUUAGCUAGUAGGUGGGGUAAAGGCUCACCAAGGCGACGGUCUCUAGCUGGGCUGAGAGGAUGAUCAGCCACACUGGUACUGAGACACGGCCCCGACUCCUCCGGAGGCAGCAGUGGGGAAUAUUGCCCAAUGGGCGCAAGCCUGAUGCAGCCAUGCCGCGUGUAUGAAGAAGGCCUUAGGGUUGUAAAGUACUUUCAGCGGGGGGGCGUGAGCGGAAGAAGAAGCACCGGCUAACUCCGUGCCAGCAGCCGCGGUAAUUG
rnacentral:rRNA from 1 species